UACGGGGGGGGCAAGCGUUGUUCGGAAUUACUGGGCGUAAAGGGCUCGUAGGCGGCCAACUAAGUCAGACGUGAAAUCCCUCGGCUUAACCGGGGAACUGCGUCUGAUACUGGAUGGCUUGAGGUUGGGAGAGGGAUGCGGAAUUCCAGGUGUAGCGGUAGAAAUGCGUAGAUAUCUGGAGGAACACCGGUGGCGAAGGCGGCAUCCUGGACCAAUUCUGACGCUGAGUGAGCGAAAGCCAGGGGA
rnacentral:rRNA from 1 species